rnacentral:lncRNA from 10 species
GGCAGGGUCAGCGUCCCAUUCUGCAGAGGAGGAAGCUGAGGCCCACGAGGUGUCAUGAGGACUGGACAUGGGUCUAUCAGGACCAUCGGCAUGAUGUCAGCCAAGGAUCUCGUGGCCUGCCUCUGCCAAGGGGGGACCAGCACCUUGUCCUGAGCACUUCCAGCCUCCCAUUGCCUUCAACCUGGCUGCAUUCAGCUGCCAUGCCCCUACCUCCUGAUGUGGCCAGCACCCUCCAGGACUUCAUCUAGGUGCACCCAAAGGCCGAGGACGUUGCUGGCCAGCAGGAAAUUCCUGGUGCAUCCAGGAAGACUUCCAAGAGGUGGUGGAACAGGGGGCGCCACACCCAGACAGCUGUGUGUAACUGUGCAGCUUCGGGCUGCUGCAGGUGCUGGCCGGACUGUGUUCUGGGCACACUGGACUGUGUCACUGCAUGGAGGCUGUUGCCGGAGGAGGAAGUGCAGGCCCCAAGGCCUAUGUGCCUGGAAACCAGCUGGGGCUGCUGCAGGAGGAGGGCUGCAGGAUGCUCCAGCUCAGACCUGACUCAGGGUUUUAGAGGGCACAGGGCAUAAAGCUGUGGACAUAGACAGCCCUACUGCGCAGGAAGAGCAUAAACCAGCCAGAGGGCAUGCAUGGGGGCUGCUGUUGCAUUCUGGUCUCCUUUGAGGUAGGGAAAGAUGUGUUUCUUUCUAUUUUAUGGGUGAGCAAACUGAGGCAGAGUGGUGGAGUGAUUUCCCCCAGCAUCGAUGGCAGAUUUAGCUCCAGGGCUUAGAUUUUAGGAUCCUCCCUCUCAAAUACCAUGAUGUAUCAUGGGCUUUUUCUCCACAGAAAAUUAGAAACUCAGAAAUGGAAAGGAACAAUGAAACUUACCCAUUCUCCCACUGCUCACAUUUCCUUCUGGUCUUUUUGUGUGUGCAUAUAAAAUAUAUCUCAGAAAAUUGAGUUUGUGCUGUGGAUGCCAUUUAUAUCCUUUUAUACUCAACAGAUCAUGAAAAUCCCUUUUGUUGCUAAUUAUAUUUCCUGG